rnacentral:rRNA from 1 species
GUAGGUGGCAAGCGUUGUCCGGGAAUUAUUGGGGCGUAAAGCGCGCGCAGGCGGUUCUUUAAGUUCUGAUGUGAAAGCCCACGGGCUCAACCGUGGGAGGGUCAUUGGAAACUGGAGAACUUGAGUACAGAAGAGGAAAGCGGAAUUCCACGUGCAGCGGUGAAAUGCGUAGAGAUGUGGAGGAACACCAGUGGCGAAGGCGGCUUUCUGGUCUGUAACUGACGCUGAGGCGCGAAAGCGUGGGGAGCAAACAGGAUUAGAUACCCUGGUAGUCCACGCCGUAAACGAUGAGUGCUAAGUGUUAGGGGGUUUCCGCCCCUUAGUGCUGCAGCUAACGCAUUAAGCACUCCGCCUGGGGAGUACGGCCGCAAAGGCUG